rnacentral:rRNA from 1 species
AAUGAACGCUAGCGGUAGGCCUAACACAUGCAAGUUGAACGCAUACUUUUUACAGUAUGAGUAGCAAACGGGUGAGUAACGCGUGAGAAAUCUACCUUACAAUCUGGGAUAAAAUCCCGGAUUCUUUCUAAACUAGAUGUUAAAAUAGUCUAGAAUAAAAGAUUAAAUGUCGUUGUAAGAUGUGCUCGCGUAGGAUUAGGUAGUUGGUGAGGUAAAGCUACACCAAGCCGAAGAUCCUUAGCUGGUCUGAGAGGAUGAUCAGCCACACUGGGACUGAGACGCGGCCCAGACGCUUUCGAGCGGCAGCAGUGAGGAACUUUGGACAAUGGGCGAAAGCCUGAUCCAGCCAUAUCGCAUGAGUGAAGAAGGCUCAAUUGGUUGUAAAGCUCUGAUUUGAUUGAAGAUUAUGACAUAAGAUACAAAAAUAGUCCCGGCUAACUUCGUGCCAGCAGCCGCCGUAAU